rnacentral:rRNA from 1 species
CCCGGUGUUUAUUCCGACGAGGCCACACCCGUUCCCAUUCCGAACACGGCAGUUAAGCUCGUCAGGGCCGAUGGUAGUUUAUCCGCAAGGGUACGCAAGAGUAGGUCGGCGCCGGGU